UACGAAGGGGGGCUAGCGUUGCUCGGAAUCACUGGGCGUAAAGCGCACGUAGGCGGAUUGUUAAGUCAGGGGUGAAAUCCUGGAGCUCAACUCCAGAACUGCCUUUGAUACUGGCGAUCUUGAGUCCGGGAGAGGUGAGUGGAACUCCGAGUGUAGAGGUGAAAUUCGUAGAUAUUCGGAAGAACACCAGUGGCGAAGGCGGCUCACUGGCCCGGUACUGACGCUGAGGUGCGAAAGCGUGGGGGAGCAAACAGG
rnacentral:rRNA from 1 species